rnacentral:rRNA from 1 species
UACAGAGGUCCCGAGCGUUGUUCGGAUUCACUGGGCGUAAAGGGUGCGUAGGUGGCAUGGUAAGUUUGAUGUGAAAGCUCAGGGCUUAACCCUGAAAUGGCAUUGAAUACUACUGUGCUGGAGGUUUGGAGGGGGGACUGGAAUUCUUGGUGUAGCAGUGAAAUGCGUAGAUAUCAAGAGGAACACCAGUGGCGAAGGCGAGUCCCUGGACAACACCUGACACUGAGGCACGAAAGCUAGGGGAGCGAACAGG